UACGUAGGGAGCAAGCGUUGUUCGGAUUUACUGGGCGUAAAGGGCGCGUAGGCGGCGCGGUAAGUCAGCUGUGAAAUCUCCGAGCUUAACUCGGAACGGCCAGCUGAUACUGCAGUGCUAGAGUGCAGAAAGGGCAAUCGGAAUUCUUGGUGUAGCGGUGAAAUGCGUAGAUAUCAAGAGGAACACCUGAGGCGAAGGCGGGUUGCUAGGCUGACACUGACGCUGAGGCGCGAAAGCCAGGGGAGCAAAC
rnacentral:rRNA from 1 species